rnacentral:rRNA from 1 species
UCGGAUUGUAGUCUGCAACCCGACUACAUNAAGCUGGAAUCGCUAGUAAUCGCGAAUCAGAAUGUCGCGGUGAAUACGUUCCCGGGUCUUGUACACACCGCCCGUCACACCAUGGGAGUCGGAAAUGCCCGAAGUCAGUGACCUAACCGAAAGGGAGGAGCUGCCGAAGGUGGAGCCGGUAACUGGGGUGAAGUCGUAACAAGGUAAC